AUUGAACGCUGGCGGCAUGCUUUACACAUGCAAGUCGAACGGUAACAGGCCGCAAGGUGCUGACGAGUGGCGAACGGGUGAGUAAUGCAUCGGAACGUGCCCAGUCGUGGGGGAUAACGCAGCGAAAGCUGCGCUAAUACCGCAUACGAUCUAUGGAUGAAAGCGGGGGACCGUAAGGCCUCGCGCGAUUGGAGCGGCCGAUGUCAGAUUAGGUAGUUGGUGGGGUAAAGGCUCACCAAGCCAACGAUCUGUAGCUGGUCUGAGAGGACGACCAGCCACACUGGGACUGAGACACGGCCCAGACUCCUACGGGAGGCAGCAGUGGGGAAUUUUGGACAAUGGGCGCGAGCCUGAUCCAGCAAUGCCGCGUGCAGGAAGAAGGCCUUCGGGUUGUAAACUGCUUUUGUACGGAACGAAACGGUCCUGGUUAAUACCCGGGGCUAAUGACGGUACCGUAAGAGUAAGCACCGGCUAACUACGUGCCAGCCGCCGCCGUAAUAC
rnacentral:rRNA from 1 species